rnacentral:rRNA from 1 species
CAAUGGGCGAAAGCCUGAUCCAGCAAUGCCGCGUGAGUGAUGAAGGCCUUAGGGUUGUAAAGCUCUUUUACCAGGGAUGAUAAUGACAGUACCUGGAGAAUAAGCUCCGGCUAACUCCGUGCCAGCAGCCGCGGUAAUACGGAGGGAGCUAGCGUUGUUCGGAAUUACUGGGCGUAAAGAGUACGUAGGCGGUGAUUCAAGUCAGAGGUGAAAGCCUGGAGCUCAACUCCAGAACUGCCUUUGAAACUAGAUCGCUAGAAUUGUGGAGAGGUUAGUGGAAUUCCGAGUGUAGAGGUGAAAUUCGUAGAUAUUCGGAAGAACACCAGUGGCGAAGGCGACUAACUGGACACAUAUUGACGCUGAGGUACGAAAGCGUGGGGAGCAAACAGGAUUAGAUACCCUGGUAGUCCACGCCGUAAACGAUGAUAACUAGCUGUUCGGGGUCUACGAUCCUGAGUGGCGCAGCUAACGCAUUAAGUUAUCCGC